AGGAGGAAAGGGAGCAAGCAGGU
rnacentral:miRNA from 1 species